rnacentral:rRNA from 1 species
UGGGGAAUCUUGGACAAUGGGCGCAAGCCUGACGACGCAACGCCGCGUGGAGGAUGAAGGUCUUCGGAUCGUAAACUCCUGUUGCCCGGGACGAAUAGCUUCGACCUAACACGUCGGAGUAUGACGGUACCGGGUGAGGAAGCCCCGGCUAACUCUGUGCCAGCAGCCGCGGUAAUACGUAGGGACCAAGCGUUGUUCGGAUUUACUGGGCGUAAAGGGCGCGUAGGCGGCAAUUCAAGUCAUCUGUGAAAUCUCCGGGCUUAACUCGGAACGGUCAGAUGAUACUGCUUUGCUAGAGUGCAGAAGGGGCAAUCGGAAUUCUUGGUGUAGCGGUGAAAUGCGUAGAUAUCAAGAGGAACACCUGAGGUGAAGACGGGUUGCUGGGCUGACACUGACGCUGAGGCGCGAAAGCCAGGGGAGCAAACGGGAUUAGAUACCCAAGUAGUCCCUGAGCGGGCUGGCAAGGCGCAU